UACGUAGGGCGCAAGCGUUAUCCGGAAUUAUUGGGCGUAAAGAGCUCGUAGGCGGCUUGUCGCGUCGUUCGUGAAAACCUGCAGCUCAACUGCAGGCUUGCGGUCGAUACGGGCAGGCUAGAGUUCGGUAGGGGAGACUGGAAUUCCUGGUGUAGCGGUGAAAUGCGCAGAUAUCAGGAGGAACACCGGUGGCGAAGGCGGGCCUCUGGGCCGAUACUGACGCUGAGGAGCGAAAGCGUGGGGAGCGAACAGG
rnacentral:rRNA from 1 species